GACAGAGGGUGCAAACGUUGCUCGGAAUUACUGGGCGUAAAGCGCGUGUAGGCGGCCAGGUAGGUCUGCUGUGAAACUCGAGGCUCAACCUCGAGACGUCGGCGGAAACCAUCUGGCUAGAGUCCGGAAGAGGAGAGUGGAAUUCCUGGUGUAGCGGUGAAAUGCGCAGAUAUCAGGAAGAACACCCGUGGCGAAGGCGGCUCUCUGGGACGGUACUGGACGCUGAAGACGCGAAAGCGUUGGGAGCGAACAGG
rnacentral:rRNA from 1 species